AUUGAACGCUGGCGGCAUGCUUUACACAUGCAAGUCGAACGGUAACAGGCCGCAAGGUGCUGACGAGUGGCGAACGGGUGAGUAAUGCAUCGGGACGUGCCCAGUCGUGGGGGAUAACGCAGCGAAAGCUGUGCUAAUACCGCAUACGAUCUAUGGAUGAAAGCGGGGGACCGUAAGGCCUCGCGCGAUUGGAGCGGCCGAUGUCAGAUUAGGUAGUUGGUGGGGUAAAGGCCUACCAAGCCAACGAUCUGUAGCUGGUCUGAGAGGACGACCAGCCAAACUGGGACUGAGACACGGCCCAGACUCCUACGGGAGGCAGCAGUGGGGAAUUUUGGACAAUGGGCGCAAGCCUGAUCCAGCAAUGCCGCGUGCAGGAAGAAGGCCUUCGGGUUGUAAACUGCUUUUGUACGGAACGAAACGGUCUGGGUUAAUACCCUGGGCUAAUGACGGUACCGUAAGAAUAAGCACCGGCUAACUACGUGCCAGCCGCCGCGGUAA
rnacentral:rRNA from 1 species